rnacentral:miRNA from 15 species
GACAAUAUUGCUCAACCAUUUGGGGGGUCAAACUGUACGUUGUAUGUGCCAAACUAUGAAAUUCAUAAGCGUAUAGCUUUUCCCCUUAAAAGUUGAAGCAAAGCCAG